rnacentral:rRNA from 1 species
GGGCCCGCACAAGCGGUGGAACAUGUGGUUUAAUUCGACGCAACGCGCAAAACCUUACCUGGAUUUGACAUCCCGGGCUCACCUCAGAGAUGAGGUUUUCUCUUCGGAGACCCGGUGACAGGUGCUGCAUGGCUGUCGUCAGCUCGUGUCGUGAGAUGUUGGGUUAAGUCCCGCAACGAGCGCAACCCUUGUCCCUAGUUGCCAGCAUUGAGUUGGGCACUCUAGGGAGACUGCCGGUGAUAAGCCGGAGGAAGGUGGGGAUGACGUCAAGUCCUCAUGGCCUUUAUGUCCAGGGCUACACACGUGUUACAAUGGGGGUGACAAAGAGUGGCAAGCUGCGAAGCUGCGCAA